UCUGGAAUAUUCUAAUGACUCGUUACCAAAAUACAACAAUAUAUAUGAUGUCCCAAAAAUAAAAAUGAAUGAAAUAAAAAAUUGAUAAAAGCUAUGUACAUAAGGUUGGCUUGAUGGGCUGCUUUGUUGACACUGUUGGGUUGUGCAGCUGUUGCUUGUGUUGGGCCUGUUGGGCCUGGUUAACACCCCCUCCCCCCUCAGGCUGGAGGGUAAAAACACACCAAGUUUGUGAAGAAUACCAUAGUAAGGCUGCCUAGGGAGAGCUUUAGUCAUGAUGUCUGUGAGCUGGGCAGAGCUGGGAACAAAAUGUAAAGAAAUAAGGCCUGAAUUCAGGCAUUCACGUAGAUAAUGACAAUCAAUCUCUAUGUGUUUCGUACGUUCAUGGAAGAUAAGAUUCUUGGCUAUGUGUAAUGAAGCUUGACUGUCACAGUGAAUAGGAACAGGACUCUCAAUAGGCAGACCAAGAUCACCCAAAAGUCAAACUAACCAAGAAACUUUAGAAAUAGUCUUCCUUAAGGCCCUGUACUCAGCUUCAGCUGAAGACAAGGAUAUGGUGGGUGCUUCUUGUUUUUCCAUGAAAUGAGGCUACCUCCAAGAAUUAUAAAAAACAGAGAGAUUUGCGAGAGAUAGCACAGGCAGCCCAAUCAGAGUAAGAAUAACCAAGGAGUGAAAAAUCAGAACUGUUGGACAGUAGAAUACCUUGAGCUGGAUCAUUCAUAAGAUACCUUAGGACAUGUAAAGCAGCCUGCAUGUGAGGCAUUUGAGGCUUUUGAAGAAACUGGCUCAAGUCCUGUACAGAAAAAGAGAUAACUGGCCUGGUGUGUUGAAGGAAGUUGAGUUUACCUAUUAAUCUUCUGUAGGUGCUGGGAUCAGUUAGGGGUUCUCCCAUGUCUAAGACCAGUUUGGAUGAAGAAUCCAAGGGAGUAAGAACAAGAGUGAAAUGCUGGCAAUUAAAUUCAGCAAUGAGAUCAGUGGCAUACUUCUGCUGAGUCAUGAGAUAGCCUUGAGGAUGUUGUGAAAUUUCUAACCCCCAAAAAUGGUGCAAUGUGCCCAGGUCUUUGAUCUUGAAUUGAGAAUCCAAGAAAGACCUUAAGGAAAUCAAUUCUGAUACAUCAUCCCCAGAAAAGAGUAUGUCAUCCACAUAUACAACAAGGACCACCAGAGAACUAGAGGUUGAUUUGGUGAAGAGAGAAUAAUCAUUGACUAGAAAUGUAGCCUUGAGAUAGCAGGGCUUCAGACAGUUUUGAAAACCACUGUCUAGAAGCCUACCUUAGGCCAUAGAGAGACUUCUUAAGUCUGCAAACCAGUGGUGGAGAUAUGGAAGAAGAAGAGAUGUCAAGCCCUGGGGGAACUUUCAUGUAAACCUCCUCACUUAGGUCACCAUGGAGAAAGACAUUGUUGACAUCAAGUUGAAAAACAAUCCAACCUCUCUUAACAGCCAAGGUUAGCAUACAUUUAAUGGUGGUCAAUUUGACCACAUGGGAGAAGGUCUCAGUGAAGUCAAUGCCUUCCCUUUGAGCAUUACCCCUAAUGACCAGCCUGGCCUUAUACCUUUCAAUAAAGCCAUCAACUCUUUGUUUGAUCUUGUAGACCCAUUUACAAGGAAUGGCUUUCUUGUUGGGAGGUAGAGGAACAAUGUUCCAGGUCUGGUUUGCUUCAAGAGCCCUAAAUUCUUGUAGCAUAGCCUCCUACCAUGCAGGGUUUGAUGAUGCUUGCUGGUAAAACUGAGGCUCAUGCAUAUGAUGCUCACUAAAAAUAACCAAGGAGGGAGCAGGAAGUGAAGCAGAAUUGCAGACAUAAUCAUUUAGGUAGAUAGGUUUGUUAACUGUUCUAAGAGAUUUCUAAAAGGAAGAGAAUUAUGAGAAGGUAAAGGAAGUUCAGUGGGUUCAGUGGGUGGACUAGGAAUUGUAGAGUUGGGAUACUGAAUGUUGGAGAUGACAGGACUGGGAGGAGAAGGAGAAGAUGUUAAAGGAGGCAUAGUAGUACUGGGAGUAGAAGAAGAGAGGUCUUGAGUAGCAGAAGGAUUGAGAGGAUUUGGAGAUGGGGAUUCAGUAAAUGAUUGUUCAACAGAAGGAAAUAAAGAGGGAGGAGAAGAAGAGUUAGAUCUGUAACGAAAAACAUGUUCAUGAAAAACUACAUCUCUAAAACAAAAAACAGAAGAACUAGAAAGGUUCAAUAACUUGUAACCUUUUUUUUCUACAGGGGUAACCCAAAAAUAAAUAGGAAAUAGCUCUUGACUGAAAUUUAUCCCUGCCAACCUUGGGAGAUGUUGUAAAACAAAGAUACCCAAAGGAUUUUAAAUGUUCAUAAGCAGGCGGACUACCAUGUAAUUUCUCAUAAGGGGAGAGGUUGAGAAGAAGAGGUGAGGGCAUUCUAUUGAUAAGGUAAGUUGUAGUAAGUAGGCAUUCUCCCCAAAACUUGACAGGAAGCUUAGACUGAAAUAGAACCGUGGCCACUUCCAAAAGGUAUUUGCGUUUUCUUUCCACAACACCAUUUUGUUGUGGAGUGUGAGAAAUGGUUGUUUGAUGAAGAAUACCCUUAUUUCCAAAGAAAUUAAUGGCUUCAGUACUAUUCCCUAAUUUAAAGGUAUUAUCUGACCUAAAAGUAUGGACAUUUUAAUGAAAAUAAACUUUGACCAUGGAUGUAAAUGCCUUAAGGAUAGAUAGAGCAUUACCCUUACAAGAAAGAAUAUGUGUCCAGGUUACUCUAGUAUAAUCAUCUACUAGAGUAAGAAAAUACCUGAACCCAUUAUAUGUCUUUGUGUUAUAGGGUCUCCAAAUAUCAAUGUGAACAAGUUAGAAAGGAGCAGUAGACUGUAUGAAAUUGUCAUGAAAAGGUAAUCUUUGUUGUCUAGCCAUUGGGCAGAUUGAACAAAGGAAAGAUUGUUUAGAAGAGACUUGUCAGACAAAUAAGGAAUAGAUCUCAUUUUGUGAAAAGGUAUGUGACUAAAUCUUUGAUGCCAAAGCAAGUCCAUUUUAUUGAUAGUGGAUGUUUGAUUACAAGCAGAAUCAACAACAAUUUGAUUACAAACAGAAUUAUCACUAAGUAAAGGUUGAUUGAAACAAGGAGUAAUAGAACUUGGCUAAUUACAUGAAACUGAACUAGGAUUUGUUAUAAAGGCAGCAAGAGAAGAUGGAAACAGAUCAACAUCUGAUGUAGAUAGUAUAAUCUCCCAGCAGCCUUACCAAUUACCAGUGGCCUCUUCAGAGAAAGGCCGCCCCGUAAAAGACAAUUGGUUUUGGUAAUUACUGCUAUACAAUCCAACUAUGUGAUAAGUUGACGAAUAUAAAUCAAAUUGAAUUGGAAAUAAGGUACAAGCAGAACAUUCACCAGUAUUAUGUCAUGUCUACGAUGUAAUGAACCAGUUGAUAUAACUUUUACUUUAUAUCUAUUGGGUAAAGUAACUAGAAAGGGUUUAGGUAAAUGUGUGAGAUUAUGAAGGAGAUGUUUGUGUAGAGUCAUAUGGUUAGUGGCUCCUGAAUCUAAGAUCCAAGGUUGUAUACCUAGAUGUGAAGAUGCACAUGCAUGAGAAACAGGAUAAUCAGCAGCAUAGGCAUUAAACAAACCUGCAAAGUGAGCAAAAGAAGAACCUUUUGUGGAGGAAAUAUCAGGAGACAUGCCAGUAGAGAGUUGAAUUUGCUGAAACAUACUCAGGAGAAGUUGGUAUUGCUCCUAGGUGAAACCAUGAGCUGAAUUAUCAGAGGAGGCAACAUCAAGAGAGCAAGAAGGAGGGACAUAAGGAACUUCAGUCUGGACACAAGAUGCUGACUUCUUGUUCUUGGUGAACUAAAAUCAGCAGGAAAACCAUGCAACCUAUAACAUUUGUCCACAGUAUGUCCAGUUUUCUUGCAAUACUUGCAGGACACAGAAUUUGCAUUCCUUUUGGAGUCAAAAUUGAUUCUCUGAGUGAAGUUCUUGUUUGUGUUAUUGAAGGAGUUGGGAGAGGCCAGAAAAGAAGCAGAAUCACUAGUGAAACUGGGAGCAUGAGGUGUUUCUCUCUGACUCUCAUCUUGUUGCAAGAUGGGAUAUACUUUACUUAUGGGUGGUAAGGGACUCAUCAUCAUGAUGGUGCUUUUGACAGUAGAAUAAGACUCACUUAAUCCAUUGAGGAAUUGAAACAACUGUUGAUCCUCAAUGAAUUUGGGAAGAGCUCCACAUGAACAUGUAGGUACCACAUAAGAUGAAUUCAGUUCAUCCCAAAGCUUUCUAAGCUUAGUAAAGAAGUUAGCUAUAUCUUAAGAGCCUUGCACAGUUGUACUUAUCUCUCUCUGAAUUUUUAGACAUUUCGACCCAUUGGACUGCCCAAAUCUCUCAUUUAUGUCUUUCCAGACCUCUUUGGCAGUCUUAAAGCACAUUACACUUGUGGCAAUCUCUCUUGAUAUAGAAUUUAUAACCCAUGACUUCACCAUAUCAUUACAUCUUUCCCAAUAAGGAAAAUAGGGUGAGUUUGGGGUAGGUUGGGCAACUCUCCCAUCUAGGAUCCCUAGUUUAUUUUCGGCAGAUAUGGAAGUGAGCAUGCUAUUUCUCCAAAGAACAAAACCUGUCCCAUUAAAAGGUAUUGAAACCAAUUGAAUACCAGGACUGUCUGAAGGGCGGACAUACAAAGGGUGAGAAGGAUCUAAGGUAAAAGUCACGAAGCCUCCAGAAUUGGAGGUUGUGGUAUGAUCUACAGUAUCAUGAAUACUAGCCAUGCUAACAAUUUCAAUGAAACUAUAAAAUCAUACUUAAAAAAAAUACUAGAAAUUGAAGUUGAUAUGAGACGAAACUACAAUUUUCACAUGAAAAUCACAGGAUGUUCCUCAUUCAUGGAAAGAAAUAAGUCCUAAAUCUGUAGAUGGGAGAUAGGAAGAAUAUUACCGAUAUUGCGAGCAAAAUCCGAACAUAAACCCUAGGACGAAACUCAAUCGGAGCAUAAAGUGUUGAGAACCGCUGAAUUCCGGCAAUAUAGCAUCCACAGAGUCGACGUUAAGCCAAAAUCGUAGAAAUCCCCAAUUUUCUCUGAGAAUAUCUUACCUCAGACGAAAACCUCGAUUUCAACAAACCAAACAAAAAGAUGAAAACUCCAGUCAAGGGUGACGUCGAAGUGAAGAUGAAGGUGAGCUGAUACCGAAACCAUGCACUGAUACCAUGUUAACAUUACCAGAAUUCAUUGCAUGAAGAUGAAAGAAGAUGGAACUCUAGAGUUCCGAAAUCGUUUAGAGAGAGAAAGAAGAACCCCUUUAUUACUUUUGUCUAGAAUGUUCU
rnacentral:lncRNA from 1 species